CCCCUUACCUGGUGGGGGACAGACCAUAGUCAGGAAGGGGGUUCUCCCUGAAUAAGGCCAGUCCACCGCACUCCGGCUGCGCUGACCCCUGCGAUUUCCCCACACGCCGAGCCCUAGUCUGCGGUGGUGUUCAUGCUACCCGGGGCCUGGGUUCACACACUCUUCUG
ensembl:snRNA U1 U1 spliceosomal RNA